AUUGAACGCUGGCGGCAGGCUUAACACAUGCAAGUCGAGCGAGCGGCGGACGGGUGAGUAAUGUCUGGGAAACUGCCUGAUGGAGGGGGAUAACUACUGGAAACGGUAGCUAAUACCGCAUACCAUCAGAUGUGCCCAGAUGGGAUUAGCUAGUAGGUGGGGUAAUGGCUCACCUAGGCGACGAUCCCUCGCUGGUCUGAGAGGCUGACAAGACACACCGGACCUGGGAUCCGGUCCAGAACCCUACGGGGGGAAGCAUGGGGGAAUAUUGCACGAUGGGCGCAAGCCUGCUGCCGCCAUGCCGCGUGUGGGAAGAAGGCCUUAGGGUUGUAAAGCACUUUCAGCGAGGAGGCGUUACUCGCAGAAGAAGCACCGGCUAACUCCGUGCCAGCAGCCGCGGUAAUAC
rnacentral:rRNA from 1 species